AACGAACGCUGGCGGCAGGCUUAACACAUGCAAGUCGAACGCAUGCCUUCGGGCAUGAGUGGCAGACGGGUGAGUAACGCGUGGGAACCUACCCCUUGGUACGGGAUAGCUCCGGGAAACUGGAGAUAAUACCGUAUGUGUCCUGAGGGACAAAGAUUCAUCGCCAAGGGAUGGGCCCGCGUCGGAUUAGCUAGUUGGUGGGGUAACGGCCUACCAAGGCGACGAUCCGUAGCUGGUCUAAGAGGAUGAUCAGCCACAUUGGGACUGAGACACGGCCCAAACUCCUACGGGAGGCAGCAGUGGGGAAUAUCGGACAAUGGGCGCAAGCCUGAUCCAGCCAUGCCGCGUGAGUGAUGAAGGCCCUAGGGUUGUAAAGCUCUUUCACCGGUGACGAUAAUGACGGUAACCGGAGAAGAAGCCCCGGCUAACUUCGUG
rnacentral:rRNA from 1 species